rnacentral:rRNA from 1 species
UACGAAGGGAGCUAGCGUUGUUCGGAAUCACUGGGCGUAAAGCGCACGUAGGCGGAUGUGUCAGUCAGGGGUGAAAUCCCGGAGCUCAACUUCGGAACUGCCUUUGAUACAGCACGUCUUGAGUCCGGAAGAGGUGGGUGGAAUUCCUAGUGUAGAGGUGAAAUUCGUAGAUAUUGAGAAGAACACCGGUGGCGAAGGCGGCCACUGGUCCGGUACUGACGCUGAGGUGCGAAAGCGUGGGGAGCAAACAGG